GGAGAGGUUACAUAGUGGAUGAGCGUUGUAACGUUUUGAGGGUUCGAGUCCCUUCCUCUCCU
rfam:Streptococcus sp. HSISB1 chromosome, whole genome shotgun sequence.